rnacentral:rRNA from 1 species
GACGAACGCUGGCGGCGUGCCUAAUACAUGCAAGUAGAACGCUGAAGGAGGAGCUUGCUUCUCUGGAUGAGUUGCGAACGGGUGAGUAACGCGUAGGUAACCUGCCUGGUAGCGAGGGAUAACUAUUGGAAACGAUAGCUAAUACCGCAUAAGAGUAGAUGUUGCAUGACAUUUACUUAAAAGGUGCAAUUGCAUCACUACCAGAUGGACCUGCGUUGUAUUAGCUAGUUGGUGAGGUAACGGCUCACCAAGGCAACGAUACAUAGCCGACCUGAGAGGGUGAUCGGCCACACUGGGACUGAGACACGGCCCAGACUCCUACGGGAGGCAGCAGUAGGGAAUCUUGGCAAUGGACGGAAGUCUGACCGAGCAACGCCGCGUGAGUGAAGAAGGUUUUCGGAUCGUAAAGCUCUGUUGUAAGAGAAGAACGAGUGCGAGAGUGGAAAGUUCACACUGUGACGGUAUCUUACCAGAAAGGGACGGCUAACUACGUG